UGCCAGCAGCCACGGUAAUACGGAGGGGGCAAGCGUUGUUCGGAAUUACUGGGCGUAAAGCGCACGUAGGCGGACUGAUCAGUUGGGGGUGAAAUCCCGAGGCUUAACCUCGGAACUGCCUUCAAUACUGUCAGUCUUGAGAUUGGAAGAGGGAAAUGGAAUUAGCAGUGUAAGGGUGAAAUCUGUAGAUAUUGCUAAGAACACCAGCGGCGAAGGCGAUUUCCUGGUCCAAAUCUGACGCUAAAUUGCGAAAGCUAGGGUAGCAAACGGAAUUAGAUA
rnacentral:rRNA from 1 species